rnacentral:lncRNA from 1 species
GUGGGGGGUCGGCCGGUGAUGGACUUCGGAUGGCAUUGGGGAGGUUCGGCAGACAUCGGAGGUGAUCGAUCGUUGUGGAAAUCCAGCUACUGGAGCCUGAUCAUCGUGGAAGCUCAUCCAAUAUCCAACCGCUAUAGAAGUUCGAUCGAAGUCUGGUUCUUGUAGAAGGCUGAAAGAAGACCGCUUAUUGUAGAAGCUCGGU